rnacentral:rRNA from 1 species
AUUUAUCGGAGAGUUUGAUCCUGGCUCAGGACGAACGCUGGCGGCGUGCCUAAUACAUGCAAGUCGAGCGGACAGAUGGGAGCUUGCUCCCUGAUGUUAGCGGCGGACGGGUGAGUAACACGUGGGUAACCUGCCUGUAAGACUGGGAUAACUCCGGGAAACCGGGGCUAAUACCGGAUGGUUGUUUGAACCGCAUGGUUCAAACAUAAAAGGUGGCUUCGACUACCACUUACAGAUGGACCCGCGGCGCAUUAGCUAGUUGGUGAGGUAAUGGCUCACCAAGGCA